rnacentral:rRNA from 1 species
GCUAAACGCGAAGAACCUUACCUGGCCUUGACAUCCAUGGAAUCCCGAAGAGAUUCGGGAGUGCCGCAAGGAACCAUGAGACAGGUGCUGCAUGGCUGUCGUCAGCUCGUGUCGUGAGAUGUUGGGUUAAGUCCCGCAACGAGCGCAACCCUUGUCCUUAGUUGCCAUCAUUAAGUUGGGAACUCUAAGGAGACCGCCGGUGACAAACCGGAGGAAGGUGGGGAUGACGUCAAGUCAUCAUGGCCUUUAUGGCCAGGGCUACACACGUGCUACAAUGGCAGGUACAGAGGGAAGCCAACCGGGCGACGGGAGCUAAUCCCAGAAAGCCUGUCUUAGUCCGGAUUGCAGUCUGCAACUCGACUGCAUGAAGUUGGAAUCGCUAGUAAUCGCAGAUCAGCAUUGCUGCGGUGAACUACGUUCC